AUUGAACGCUGGCGGCAGGCUUAACACAUGCAAGUCGAGCGAGCGGCGGACGGGUGAGUAAUGUCUGGGCAACUGCCUGAUGGAGGGGGAUAACUACUGGAAACGGUAGCUAAUACCGCAUACCAUCAGAUGUACCCAUAUGGGAUUAGCUAGUAGGUGGGGUAAAGGCUCACCUCGGCGACGAUCCCUAGCUGGUCUGCGAGGGUGACCGGCGACACUGGAACUGAGAAACGGUCCAGACUCCUACGGGAGGCAGCAGUGGGGAAUAUUGCACAAUGGGCGCAAGCCUGAUGCAGCCAUGCCGCGUGGGUGAAGAAGGCCUUCGGGUUGUAAAGCACUUUCAGCGAGGAGGCGUUACUCGCAGAAGAAGCACCGGCUAACUCCGUGCCAGCAGCCGCGGUAAUUC
rnacentral:rRNA from 1 species